GGCAGGAUGGCUGAGCGGUCAAAGGUGCUGCAUUAAGGUUGUAGUCUCUAUGGAGGCGUGGGUUCAAAUCCCACUCCUGACA